rnacentral:rRNA from 1 species
AUUGAACGCUGGCGGCAGGCCUAACACAUGCAAGUCGAGCUGAGCGGCGGACGGGUGAGUAAUGCCUAGGAAUCUGCCUGGUAGUGGGGGAUAACGUCCGGAAACUGGCGCUAAUACCGCAUACUAUCAGAUGAGCCUAGGUCGGAUUAGCUAGUUGGGGGGGUAAAGGCCUACCAAGGGGACUAUCCGUAACUGGUCGGAGAGGAUGAUCAGUCACACUGAAACUGAGACACGGUCCAGAUGACUACGGGAGGAAGCAGUGGGGAAUAUUGGACAAUGGGAGAAAGCCUGAUCCAGCCAUGCCGCGUGUGUGAAGAAGGUCUUCGGAUUGUAAAGCACUGUAAGUUGGGAGGCGUUACCAACAGAAUAAGCACCGGCUAACUUCGUGCCAGCAGCCGCGGUAAUUC